UACACAUGUAUUACUAUGCGACAUUGC
rnacentral:sRNA from 1 species